CUCACAUGGUUUUCUCCAGCCUCUUUGCAACUGAUUGGUUCAUUCAUGUUCACAUCUACGUUCUUCAGAAAGAAAGUAUGCAUCUUCCUGGAAGCAUCCUUGAGUGCACCUAUGAGGUCAAUGACCAAGUUGCAUGUGUGUUAGGCUGGCUAAACAGAGACUAGCUACUGCUAGCCAGCUUGGUCAAUACAAACCUACCACCAACACUAUAAAAGGAGCCACCAAUGCCUUCUAAGUAUGCCCACAUAGCUGCUACCUGUUAACCCACAAAACUUCACCUCACAGGUCACAAAUCAUUUGCCUUGCUUAGCACCCGGCGGAGAUGGGGACGGCGGCGGCAGGCUGGCUCGUCGGCAAGGUGCUGAAUAUGCUGUCCGAUGACUUGGUGGCCGCAUACAUGGACAGCAAAGAGCUCGGUCUCAACUCCGAGAAGAUCAAAGGUGAUCUCAUGCGCACACAUGGACUUUUGCAAGCCGCCCAGGCGAGGGGCAUGGGCGACAAUGAUGGUCUGCGUGAGCUGGUGCAGGCGCUCAACGCCAAACCCCAUGAGGCUGAGGACACACUGGAUGAGCUCCACUACUUCAUCAUCCAGGACCAGCUUGACGGCACCCAGUACGCGGUGCCAGAUCUUGGUGAUGGCCUAUCUGGUCUUCUUCAACAUGGUUGUCAUGCCGUUCGCCACACCAUUGGUAAUUGUCUUGCAUACUUUUCUUGUUCGUGUGUACAUGGUGGUGCUGGUGCUGCCGCUGCCGAGAAUCCAUCCAGUUCAACCAUCCCUGGCAACGGCAAUGAUGCCCCACUUGAGAGGCUGACAUUUGACAGAGUUGCCAUGUCCAAUAAAAUUAAGUCUGUGAUACAAGAAAUGCACUCUCUAUGUGCGCCUAUCGCUGAGUUGCUCCAGAUAGAUCCAGACCAUAUCAACACUCCAAAUGUCACCAUAAAACGCCCUAUUACAAGUUCAGUCAUUGCACAAGUUACACUGUAUGGUAGGACAACUAUUUUUGAGAAAACUAGAAAGGAUAUUAUUGGUGGCACAUAUCAGAAUAAAACCCUUUCUGUUCUUCCUAUAGUUGGUCCAGGGGGUAUUGGAAAGACAACCUUCACCCAACAUCUGUAUAAGGAUAACAGCAUACAAGAGCAUUUUGAUGUUAGGGUUUGGGUAAGUGUACCAACUCAUUUUGAUGUACUUAAGAUCAGCCAACAGAUCCUUAGCUGUAUAGAAGGAAGCAACACAGCAAAUCAAACAACAAGUUUAGACCACCUCCAAAAAUCCAUCGCACAGAGGCUUCAGUCUAAAAGGUUUCUAAUUGUCUUCGAUGACAUGUGGAAAUGCAAUAUCCAUGAUUGGGAUAACCUGUUAGCUCCAUUCAAGGAGGAGGUACUAUCCAAGGGCAACAUGGUUCUUGUCACAACUCGAAUCCCAACUAUAGCUAAUAUUGUGAAAACAACACAUGCAGUAGCACUAAAAGGACUUGAGCCUGCUGAAUUCUUCAGAUUAUUUGAAGACUUGAUUUAUUUUGGAACAGAGCCUGAGGAUUAUCGAGAUGACUUAACUCACAUUGCAAGAAAAAUUUCAGAGAAGUUAAAGGGUUCACCUCUAGCAGCCAAGACAGUUGGUCGAUUAUUGAAGAGGGAUAUUUCUCUGGAACAUUGGGUGGGAGUUCUUGAACACAAUGAAUGGCAAAAAGAGCAAAAUGAGCAUGACAUUAUGCCAUCUCUAAGGAUUAGUUAUCAUAACCUUCCUUUGCAUCUGAAAAGAUGUUUCUCAUAUUUUGCAUUGUUCCCUGGAGAUUAUAAGUUCAAGAAUUUAGAAAUUACAUAUUUUUGGAUUUCAAUAGGAGUCAUAAACAAAGAGGAGAAAUAUGUGGAGGAAUUUGUGGACAAUGGUUUUCUCGUGAAGGAGACUGAUGGUUCUGAGGAUCAUUACUAUGUAUUGCAUGAUUUAUUGCAUCAACUAUCUCAGAGUAUUUCAUCACAAGAAUGCCUCAAUAUAUAUAGUAGUGAAAGUUUUAGAUCUGAUGUCAUUCCACGAUCUAUUCGGUACAUAUCCAUCACCAUGGGAAAUAGUUGCGAUGCAAAUUUUAGGAGAGAAAUGUUUGACUUGAAGAGCAAGAUAGAUAUCGUAAAUUUACGGGCUUUGAUGAUCUUUGGAAAAUAUGGAAGGGUCAUUCAUGAGACUUUGGAAGAUGCUUUCAAGGAAGUUGGGAGACUCCGUGUCCUAUUUAUAGAAUUUAAGACCCUAGAAACCUGGCCGCAUAACUUUUCAAAACUUAUCCACCUCCGAUGCCUCAAAAUUAGUACAUCAUUAUUCAUCUCACAAGUGUCUUUGCCCAUUACACUAUGCAGGUUUUAUCACUUAAAAUUAUUGGACUUAAUAGGUUGGCAUGGUAGUGUUAGAUUGCCUAAAGACUUUAGCCGCCUAAUCAGUUUACGACAGUUAUUUGCUGAAAAUGAACUCCAUUCCAAUGUUACUAUGGUUGGAAAGAUGAAGUAUUUAAAAGAGCUAAAACAAUUCUAUGUCAAGAAAGAGAGUGUUGGAUAUGAAUUGAGUGAGCUGGGGAAAUUAACAGACCUUGGAGGUGAACUCAAUAUAUAUAAUCUUGAAAAGGUGGCAACUAAGGAAGAGGCUAUUGAAGCCAAAAUAGUUUUGAAAAAGGAUUUAAAAAAGUUGCACCUAGUAUGGGGUACAAACCAACAUAACCUGGAGUCUGAUGUUCUUGAUGGUCUUGAACCACAUUGUAAUCUUGGAGCACUUGGCAUUAUAGAUCAUGGUGGUUCAACCGGUCCUAGAUGGUUGUGUCAUGACAUUAGGAUGGUGAUGCUCACGUCUCUCCACUUAGAGGGUAUAUCUUGGGUCACUCUUCCACUCUUUGGACUGCUACUACAUCUCACGUCACUCACGCUGAGUCGCAUAUCUAGACUUAGUCAGAUCAGACCUGGCCUUUGUGGCGUUACGGAUAAAAGUUUCAUGCAAUUGAAGCAGAUUAUUCUUCAUAGUUUGCCAGAAUUUAUCGAGUGGGUUGGGGUGCCUAAUGCCCAUUCGUUUUCAAAGCUUGAAUACAUCCAUUGCAGCUCAUGUCCCAAUCUGUGUGUGCUGCCCUUCCUGCAGGAGGGCCCUAAUGUCUCUUAUAACCAUCUAGCGAAACUUGAGAUUCUGAGUUGCCCAAAGUUGUUCCUGCCUUCCAUGCCUCACACUUCAACAAUAACUGAUGUUGUGGUUGCUAAUGCAUCUUCUGUCAGCACAGGGAUUUCAUGGCACAGUGGACAUGGUUUGUAUUUGACGAGGUAUGGUGGUGUAUUAGCUUGGCACGAUAUAAUUGACAGACUACAGAGCGUCAAAUUUGUAAGGGGGUCAGAGAUCCAAUGGGAACAACUCUCAAAGGUAAAAUGCCUUUGGAAUCUUGAGAUUAUAGACGACCCAAGAUUUCUUUCAAUUGCCCCGCUCUCAAACCUCACGUCUCUCACCCGGCUAGGGCUGUUAAAUUGCGAGAAUAUAACAAUGGAUGGGUUCAACCCUCUCAUCACACUCGUUAACCUCAAGGAAUUGGAGGUAUAUAAUAAAGAUCACCCUCGAUCUGUAGCCGCGGAUCUUCUCUCGGAUUUGGUGAUGGCGAGCAGGGCAAAAAAUGUGUUUCCUGCAACAGGCUCCUUCUUCCAAUUGGAAAAACUUGAGGUGGAUAGCUCCUCAGCAGCGCUAGUUGCCCCAAUCUGCACCCUCCUUGCCGCUACCCUCCAGGAGUUAAGUUUCUGGUAUGAUAAGCGGGUGGAAAGCUUGACGGAUGGGGAAGAGAACGCGCUUCAGCUCCUCACCUCCCUCCAACACCUAUCUUUUGUGGAGUGUCAAGGUUUGCCGUCCCUCCCUCAAAGGUUGCACGACCUCUCUUCUCUCAAGAAACUAGAAGUCAUUAGGUGUGCUAAAAUUCGAUCACUGCCUAAGGAGGGGAUCCCAAAUUCUCUGAAAGAGCUAGUCAUAGUGGACUGCGGCCCCGAGCUACGCGAGCAAGUCUACACAGUGAAACAAAAAUACCCAGAUUUGCAGGUGUCAUUGCCUGGCCAAGGCUUGCCGGUACAGCUGCUCAUUUAAUUGUACAUACAUAUGGAGAAUAUUCAUCUAUCUAAGCAGUUUUGGAGGUUACUAUACAUGGAGCUUGCCUUUCAGUUCCUACUUAGCACGCCCGACUACAUAUAUAUGGGCUAUCUUAACGUAGCUGCCUUUGUCGUCACACUUGUGUCAGUACUUUCCUUUCAAGCUGCAACUUAUACGUACAGCUUGUGUUUUAGCGGAUUAACGAUUUGUGUGGAAGAGCAUUUUAUCCUCUAUCUGGUAGAUGAACUGAUUGGUUAUUGAGUUCAUGGUAUCACCAACUGCCAACUACAUCUUGUGCAGAUUUGGAGACUGCAUAUAUACAUAGGGUGGUGUUUCACUUUCAACAGUCAGAGUAUCAGUUCCUAUAUAUUUAGCAGGCUUUCUUGGAGUGUUGAAGAUUGCAGGCUUGCCUGGCCUUCCUAAUGAUUGGACAGCUUGUGUUUCACGAGAUUAGCAGCAUGGAAGAUCAAUUGUCUUCUACUAUAUUCUUCUAUCUGAGCAGUUCUAGAUGCAGGUGUGAUUGCUACUGUACAUGGUGAUUGAUCCGUCAGUGUGAUUGCUCCAUUCUUCUUGGCAUAAUACAACAAUGUUCCCUUUGUGUUUUAUCUGAAUAUAUCUCAGCUUGUGUUACAAUGCUAAUUUUAAAAUAUGUUCCAUGUGAUAUUGGAACAGGUUGGUUAUUUGUUCUUACAGUCCAGUUCCAUUUUAACCCCGCCCCAACAACCGCCGGCUACAUACAUCUACAUCUUGUGCAGAUUUGAUAUAUGGUAGUGUUUCACUGUCAACCUUCAGAGUUCAGAGUUCCAGUUUACACCUGUUGACCGGCGACUCAAAAGUUGGAUCCUGUCCUGCAGACCAAUCAAUCUGCAUCCGGCAGUGGAUCUAGAAGUUGACAUUCAAACUUGCAAAGCCUGGCUGUUCCAUCCGAACAACGGCUGUGACGGACGGAAGCAUCUGUGAGCGCUUCUGCGUAAUCG